AGGAUGAUUCGGAAGGAAGAAUAAGAAGCCAGUUGUCAGGUCUUGUCUUCACGCUUACUUGUGGCUACCCAGUGAGUGAAUCGAAAGUACUCAUUUUCAACAACUGUGAACAAAUGUCAAAAAAUGAGUAGAAUUUAAAACUGUCACUGUGUCAAAGUAACUUAACCGCGCCAUCCGACAUUUUCAAGUUUUUCCGGAUGGAUAAAAUUAAAAGUGUUAUAGACAGCGAGUCGUGUCAGGCUCUAGCUGAUUUCAAACGUCCCGUUUGUGGUUGCUUUGUGGAUUGAUGCCGAGAGAAGCAGAGCUGUUCCGGAUACAUGUUCGAAAAAAAACAUUGAAUUAAACCUAUUGCACAUGUGGGUAUUGCAAUAAAACGUAGUUAUUUUUUAAAA